rnacentral:misc_RNA from 1 species
GACAGCUCCAUACCCCAAGUAUGAGUAUGGAUGGUGGGAGCCCUUUCUACCUCCAAAGUCUAGCAAUGGAACAGCAUAGAGAUGAUCGGCAAUCCAUAUGAGCAAUGUAAGAUUUCUUCCAUGCAAGUGCCCAAAUGUAAUCUAAAUUUUUAACAAUGCCUAUGUAAUACUUGGGGUGCUGUGAGUACAGUUAGCUACAAUAGUUGCAGAGUUGCUGUACUUUCUGG